rnacentral:tRNA from 1 species
AACUAUUUGGCUGAUUGGAAAGUAAAUGUCUUGAAAACAUUUUAUAAAGGUUCAAAUCCUUUAAUAGUUU